UACGUAGGGUGCAAGCGUUAAUCGGAAUUACUGGGCGUAAAGCGUGCGCAGGCGGUGAUGUAAGGCAGGUGUGAAAUCCCCGGGCUUAACCUGGGAACUGCAUUUGUGACUGCAUCGCUGGAGUGCGGCAGAGGGGGAUGGAAUUCCGCGUGUAGCAGUGAAAUGCGUAGAUAUGCGGAGGAACACCGAUGGCGAAGGCAGCCCCCUGGGCCAACACUGACGCUCAGGCACGAAAGCGUGGGGAGCAAACAGG
rnacentral:rRNA from 1 species